AGUAUAGAAAUACGAAAGAAUACCAUGCAACAAAGCUAGCACGAAGGAAUGCCAUGCAACAAAACUAUGUAAUUGAUGUGGAACCAAAAUAUUGUUAGUUUCUUUAUGUAAUUUGCUAGUUUUGACAAUAUUGUGGGUUCAACAUAUGCAAUAUGGAUAGAAGCACAAAGGAAAAGUAUUCGUUGGAUGAUUGUGAUUCAUUUAACAUCGA
rnacentral:lncRNA from 1 species